GGGGAGGUAGCUCAAUGGUAGAGCACAUGCUUUGUGUGUAUGAGGCACCUGGUUCUAUUCCCGCCUGCUUU
rnacentral:tRNA from 1 species